rnacentral:rRNA from 1 species
AGUUUUCGGAUGGAAGCUAGAUUGACUGAGUGGCGGACGGGUGAGUAACGCGUGGGUAACCUGCCUCACACUGGGGGACAACAGUUAGAAAUGACUGCUAAUACCGCAUAAGCGCACAGCACCACAUGGUACAGUGUGAAAAACUCCGGCGGUAUGAGAUGGACCCGCGUCUGAUUAGCUGGUUGGUGGGGUAACGGCCCACCAAGGCGACGAUCAGUAGCCGACCUGAGAGGGUGAUCGGCCACAUUGGGACUGAGACACGGCCCAAACUCCUACGGGAGGCAGCAGUGGGGAAUAUUGCACAAUGGGGGAACCCUGAUGCAGCAACGCCGCGUGAGUGAAGAAGUAUUUCGGUAUGUAAAGCUCUGUCAGCAGGGAAGAAAAUGACGGUACCUGACUAAGAAGCCCCGGCUAACUACGUGCCAGCAGCCGCGGUAAUACGUAGGGGGCAAGCGUUAUCCGGAUUUACUGGGUGUAAAGGGAGCGUAGACGGCAGCGCAAGUCUGAAGUGAAAGCCCGGGGCUCAACCCCGGAAUGGCUUUGGAAACUGCGCGGCUAGAGUACCGGAGGGGUAAGCGGAAUUCCUAGUGUAGCGGUGAAAUGCGUAGAUAUUAGGAGGAACACCAGUGGCGAAGGCGGCUUACUGGACGGUAACUGACGUUGAGGCUCGAAAGCGUGGGGAGCAAACAGGAUUAGAUACCCUGGUAGUCCACGCGGUAAACGAUGAAUGCUAGGUGUUGGUGAGCAAAGCUCAUCGGUGCCGCCGCAAACGCAUUAAGCAUUCCACCUGGGGAGUACGUUCGCAAGAAUGAAACUCAAAUGAAUUGACGG